rnacentral:rRNA from 1 species
AUUGAACGCUGGCGGCAGGCCUAACACAUGCAAGUCGAACGAGUGGCGGACGGGUGAGUAACACGUGAUAACCUACCUAUAAGACUGGGAUAACUACUGGAAACGGUAGCUAAUACCGCAUACCAUCGGAUGUGCCCAGAUGGGAUUAGCUAGUAGGGGGGGUAACGGCUCACCUAGGCGACGAUCCCUAGCUGGUCUGAGAGGAUGACCAGCCACACGGGAACGGAGACACGGUCCAGACUCCUACGGGAGGCAGCAGUGGGGAAUAUUGCACAAUGGGCGCAAGCCUGAUGCAGCCAUGCCGCGUGUAUGAAGAAGGCCUUCGGGUUGUAAAGUACUUUCAGCGAGGAGGCGUUACUCGCAGAAGAAGCACCGGCUAACUCCGUGCCAGCAGCCGCGGUAAUAC